GGUUAUUAUUAUUUUUUUUUUUUUGAGGGGGGACUAUAGAAAUUAUAGUGGGCUAAGGACCCUCCUUUUGAUAAAAAUUUAUAAAAAUAAAUAUAAACAUGAUAUAAUAAUGAUUUUUUUUUUUUAAAAACUAUGAAUGGAGAAGGGGUCCACCCCCGUGUUCCCUCUCAGCUUAGUUAUGCCACUGGUCCUUAUUAGAUAAUAA